ensembl:lncRNA
ACACACACACACACACACACACACACACACACACUGUACAUUUGCACAUAUCCAUGCGUAAUAGAUUUACACGUUAAGUCUACAGGAAAAGAAAAUUUCUGCUAGAAUUAAAAAGAAGCACCAGUUAUGAGUGAGAGGAAUCACGUGCGAGCUGAAAACAUUUGAUGUGCAUGUGCAUGUUGGGGUGUGUGCAUGUUCAUAGUUUAAUGAUGUUAUUUAUUUGGCAUGUGACUGGGGAUCCUCACAGCAUUCUCCAUUUAUACAUACAGACUUUUUUUUUCUUUUCUUUUUUUUUUUUUCUUGUUUCACCCUGUACUCCAAACCAGACUGAUUUAAUAGCAGUGGCAGUCCUCUGACAUGUUAAUUUACAUAACCAUCAAGAUCUUUACAUUAUACCCUUUCAAGUCCAGCUGGGAGUGAACCAUGGAUAGUCCUGUUCUGCAUUAUGGAACAUCCAUACUGGCAACACUGUGUAGCUUAGUGCCAAAACUGCAGCAUUUUAAUUUUUUUUUGUUCCCUUUUUUUUUUUUUUUUUUUUUUUUUUUUUUUUUUAGAUGUACUGUUUGCUUGUUUUACUUAAGAAUAUGCCAAUAAAUGUUUUUAACAAAAGGAACACAAUCUGUUCUUUGGUUACAUAGUCAUUUUGUAACUCUAUCACUUCCCAUGCAAGUUUCUGCUGUAAGACCUGUAAGUAUUACCAGUUUUACCACUUUACAGUGGGGGAAAUAAGUAUUGAAUGUGUCAACAUUUUUUCAGUAAAUAUAUUUCCAAUGAGGCUAUUCACAUGAAAUUUUUACCAGAUAUCAGUAUUAACUCAAGAAAUCUGGAAAUACAAAGAAUUAAUAACAUUAAAGUCCAUAAAUAAAGUUGUGUAAUAAAGUGGAACGACACAGGAAAAAGAAUUGAACACGAUAAAGAAAAAGCAGUUCUCCACGGCAAGGCAAGGAACCAGCUGAAAUCCGUAAAUAAUUAUACCUCCUAACUGUGCAAAUUAAUAUCAGCUGGGUUAGUAAAUUGAUGGUCUAUAAAAAAGACUUUUCAUUACCAAGGUGUCACACAAGAAACAUCUCAUGAUGGCUCUCAAACCCUUCAGAACCUUAUUGUUGCAAAACAUAUUGAUGGAAUCGGAUACAGACGUAUUUCAAAACUUCUGAAUCUUCCAGUAAGCACCAUUGGGGCCAUAAUCCACAAGUGGAAGUAACAUCACUCCAUCAUCAACCGGC